AUUGAACGCUGGCGGAAUGCUUUACACAUGCAAGUCGAACGGCAGCACGGGUGCUUGCACCUGGUGGCGAGCGGCGAACGGGUGAGUAAUACAUCGGAACGUACCCAGCUAUGGGGGAUAACUAACCGAAAGGUUAGCUAAUACCGCAUACGCCCCGAGGGGGAAAGCGGAGGACCGUAAGGCCUCGAGUCAUUGGAGCGGCCGAUGUCUGAUUAGCUAGUUGGUGAGGUAAAGGCUCACCAAGGCGACGAUCAGUAGCAGGUCUGAGAGGAUGAUCUGCCACACUGGAACUGAGACACGGUCCAGACUCCUACGGGAGGCAGCAGUGGGGAAUUUUGGACAAUGGGGGAAACCCUGAUCCAGCCAUUCCGCGUGAGUGAAGAAGGCCUUCGGGUUGUAAAGCUCUUUCGGCAGGGAAGAAACGGUCUAGGUUAAUACCUUGGGCUAAUGACGGUACCUGAAGAAUAAGCACCGGCUAACUACGUGCCAGCCGCCGCGGUAA
rnacentral:rRNA from 1 species